UACGUAGGGUGCAAGCGUUGUCCGGAAUUAUUGGGCGUAAAGAGCUCGUAGGCGGUUUGUCGCGUUUGCUGUGAAAACUGGGGGCUCAACCCCCAGCCUGCAGUGGGUACGGGCAGACUAGAGUGCGGUAGGGGAGAUUGGAAUUCCUGGUGUAGCGGUGGAAUGCGCAGAUAUCAGGAGGAACACCGAUGGCGAAGGCAGAUCUCUGGGCCGUAACUGACGCUGAGGAGCGAAAGCAUGGGGAGCGAACAGG
rnacentral:rRNA from 1 species